GGAGGGAUAGGAGAAGGUCCUGAGUGAGUGCUUGGUGGAGGGAUAGGAGAAGGUCCUGAGUGAGUGCUUGGUGGAGGGAUAGGAGAAGGUCCUGAGUGUGGACUGGGUGGAGGGAUAGGAGAAGGUCCUGAGUCAGUGCUGGGUGGAGGGAUAGGAGAAGGUCCUGAGUGAGUGCUUGGUGGAGGGAUAGGAGAAGGUCCUGAGUCAGUGCUUGGUGGAGGGAUAGGAGAAGGUCCUGAGUGAGUGCUUGGUGGAGGGAUAGGAGAAGGUCCUGAGUGAGUGCUUGGUGGAGGGAUAGGAGAAGGUCCUGAGUCAGUGCUUGGUGGAGGGAUAGGAGAAGGUCCUGAAUGAGGACUGGGUGGAGGGAUGGGAGAAGGUCCUGAGUGAGUGCUGCUUUCCCAUUUUACAUCUUCUCUAGUUUAUAGCCUCUUUUUGUAGAUGGGAGUCUUUUAAAUGCUUUCCAUUCAUUAACUUUUUAACUUUACAUUUGUUAUACUCCUUUAAUUCUCACAGUAAGUCUUUGUUAAAGAUACUGCCUCUAUCUCCAUAUCACAUAUGAAGAAACAAAGUCAUUGAGAUUUGAGAUCAGUUGUCCAAGAUCAUGGUGACCUAGCAGAUCAUGUAGGGCCCCAGCCAUCUAACUGUUGUGCUGUAAGACAGAAGUGGUAUAUGCCACAACACAAGUUUAUAAAGCAGCCAGACGCAGUGGCUCACACCUGUAAUUUCAGCACUUUGGGAGGCCAAGGCCGGGGGAUCACUUGAGCCCAGGAGUUUGAGACCAGCCUGGGCAACAUGAUGAAACCCCAUCUCUACAAAAAAUACAAAAAAGUAGCUGGGUGUGGUGAUGCGUGCCAAUAGUCCCAGCUACUCGGGAGGCUGAGGUGGAAGGAUCACUUGAGCCCAGGAGACGGAAGCUGCAGUGAGCCAAAAUCAAGCCACUGCAUUCCAGCCUGGCGACAGAGACUCUGUCUCAAUUAAAAAAAAAAAAAAAAAAGUUUGCAAAGUGCCCAGAUAAUUGCAGUAGAAUGAGGUUUCUGUGGUUUUUAGCUGGGUUGAAAAAUGUGUUCACCAAUCUUGAACAUGAGAAUUACCCACCCACCCACUCCCUACAUUCUCUUCCCAAGUCUGUAGUGCUUUGGAUCAGACCCUAACCUGCACUAUGAAUCUCUCCUUCUGUGACGUUUUGGGAGCAGCAGCAGUUGACUUUGGCCAUGUGAAGGGUAACACAGAAAAAUACGUUCAUUAGGUUAUGUAUUUAAUCAAAACUACUUUUCAUGGAAGUUUAGAAGGCCAUUUCCUUUAGCCAUUUCCUUUGUUUUCAUUAUUCAUUUAAUAAAGACUUUAGUAAUGAUGCUUGUUUUUUAUUUUCUUUAUU